rnacentral:rRNA from 1 species
UACGGAGGGGGCUAGCGUUAUUCGGAAUUAUUGGGCGUAAAGGGCGCGUAGGCGGCCCGGUAAGUCAAAGGUGAAAUCCCUCGGCUCAACUGAGGAACUGCCUUUGAAACUGUCGGGCUUGAGGCCGGGAGGGGGUAGCGGAAUUCCCAGUGUAGCGGUGAAAUGCGCAGAUAUCAGGAAGAACACCCGUGGCGAAGGCGGCUCUCUGGGACGGUACUGACGCUGAGACGCGAAAGCGUGGGGAGCGAACAGG